GAGAACGACACUUCUCAGGGCCUGGGAGAGAGCUUCUGGGGAUGCCAGAGAAGGAGCUUCUAACCAGAUUGGAGGUCCUUCCUUGAGCUGCUAUCUAUGCUGAGCCUUAAAAUGAAAUUGUACUAAAGCCACAAUAAGAAUGGGGGUGGGGAAGAGGAAGACUCACAUAAUAGAAGUAUAAGCUUAAUUACGUGCCAUCUUUACCUGCCCAAUGGAACAGCCUCCCUGUGGCCUGUGGACCUGCUGUUUCCAGAGCCUCUAAGAUGAGCAAAGGAGCAAAGUGAUGGGAUGGCCUCCCUCACCUAAUAAGAAGCCACGGAGCUAAGAUUCAAACAUAUGGUCCAGCCAAGAAGAGCCACCAAGAUAGCGCCUCACAGCCUCAAGUGUUGAAGUUCCAUAAAGGAGUCGUUGUCAAGAGAAACCACAGCUGGUGCCCAAUUAGAGAGGUGAUCGAGACUGAUCGGCCAGCAGCACUCUUAAUUAAGCUGGACCACAAACUGCAGGAGAAACGGCAGCACGUCUGGCUCCUCCUGCCCGAGACACUUGCCUCCUGGGUGGAUGUGAAAAUGAAAGAGGUUGUGUAAAUAGAGAACUAAGCCUAGUGCCCGGGCCAUCAUAACUUCUCCAGAAACAUCAGCUGUUACUCUGCCCAUUCUCCUGGCUAUGUGAGCAGUUGACACACAGUGAAAGGCCUGCAUACUUCCCCCACCUCCAGACAGGUUUCCCUGGAACCCUGACAGACAGACAGACAGUGAUGUUUCUCCUCUCCAGACAGCAUCCCCAGCCGCCGCCGCUGACUCAGCCUCCCCGCCCUCCCCAAGGGUGCGGCAGGAAGGCCGCCCCUGGCAUUGAAGUUGCAGGUGGCACCAGGGGUAAAGUCACAGGCAUCUGCAGAUAGGAGACUUGAUUUUUCCCCAGGCCCUGGAA